rnacentral:rRNA from 1 species
ACUCCUACGGGAGGCAGCAGUGGGGAAUAUUGGACAAUGGGCGAAAGCCUGAUCCAGCCAUGCCGCGUGUGUGAAGAAGGCCUUCGGGUUGUAAAGCACUUUCAGCGAGGAAGAACGCUUGUGGGUUUAAUACCCCGGCAAGUAAGGACAUCACUCGCAGAAGAAGCACCGGCUAACUCCGUGCCAGCAGCCGCGGUAAUACGGAGGGUGCAAGCGUUAAUCGGAAUUACUGGGCGUAAAGCGCGCGUAGGCGGCUUGAUAAGCCGGUUGUGAAAGCCCCGGGCUCAACCUGGGAACGGCAUCCGGAACUGAUCGAGGCUAGAGUGCAGAGAGGGAAGGUANAAUUCCCGGUGUAGCGGUGAAAUGCGUAGAGAUCGG